GACGAACGCUGCGGGCGUGCCUAAUACAUGCAAGUCGAACGCUUUUUCUUUCACCGGAGCUUGCUCCAUCGAAAGAAAAAGAGUGGCGAACGGGUGAGUAACACGUGGGUAACCUGCCCAUCAGAAGGGGAUAACACUUGGAAACAGGUGCUAAUACCGUAUAACACUAUUUUCCGCAUGGAAGAAAGUUGAAAGGCGCUUNUGCGUCACUGAUGGAUGGACCCGCGGUGCAUUAGCUAGUUGGUGAGGUAACGGCUCACCAAGGCAACGAUGCAUAGCCGACCUGAGAGGGUGAUCGGCCACACUGGGACUGAGACACGGCCCAGACUCCUACGGGAGGCAGCAGUAGGGAAUCUUCGGCAAUGGACGAAAGUCUGACCGAGCAACGCCGCGUGAGUGAAGAAGGUUUUCGGAUCGUAAAACUCUGUUGUUAGAGAAGAACAAGGAUGAGAGUAAAAUGUUCAUCCCUUGACGGUAUCUAACCAGAAAGCCACGGCUAACUACGUGCCAGCAGCCGCGGUAAUACGUAGGUGGCAAGCGUUGUCCGGAUUUAUUGGGCGUAAAGCGAGCGCAGGCGGUUUCUUAAGUCUGAUGUGAAAGCCCCCGGCUCAACCGGGGAGGGUCAUUGGAAACUGGGAGACUUGAGUGCAGAAGAGGAGAGUGGAAUUCCAUGUGUAGCGGUGAAAUGCGUAGAUAUAUGGAGGAACACCAGUGGCGAAGGCGGCUCUCUGGUCUGUAACUGACGCUGAGGCUCGAAAGCGUGGGGAGCGAACAGGAUUAGAUACCCUGGUAGUCCACGCCGUAAACGAUGAGUGAUGAGUGUUGGAGGGUUUCCGCCCUUCAGUGCUGCAGCAAACGCAUAAUGCACU
rnacentral:rRNA from 1 species